rnacentral:misc_RNA from 1 species
AAGUCGUAACAAGGUCUCCGUAGGUGAACCUGCGGAGGGAUCAUUAACACGAUGAGAGAUGGCUUUAAAACCCGUCUCCCAUUCUCCACCCAACGUGAACUCGGUUGUUUUAGGACUUUCAUUAGUCCAUACUUCAACCAUUCCUCCCUUUGUGUGUUGUGGAACUGUUGGAAUCCGAUGUGUAGUGGGCCAAUUGCUGGCCAUCUGUUCCAACUGGUCGAGCUUUAUUGACUCGACGGUUCCCAACGACUUAGGCUACUAAGCACAACUCUUAGCAACGGAUAUCUUGGUUCUC